rnacentral:rRNA from 1 species
GGGCCCGCACAAGCGGUGGAGCAUGUGGUUUAAUUCGAAGAUACGCGCAGAACCUUACCAACACUUGACAUGUUCGUCGCGACUCUAAGAGAUUAGAGUUUUCGGUUCGGCCGGACGAAACACAGGUGCUGCAUGGCUGUCGUCAGCUCGUGUCGUGAGAUGUUGGUUAAGUCCCGCAACGAGCGCAACCCUCACUUUUAGUUGCCAUCAUUAAGUUGGGCACUCUGAAAGAACUGCCAGUGAUAAGCUGGAGGAAGGUGGGGAUGACGUCAAGUCCUCAUGGCCCUUACGUGUUGGGCUACACACGUGCUACAAUGGUCGGUACAAAGGGCAGCGAAGCCGCGAGGUGGAGCGAA